GAUGAACGCUGGCGGCGUGCCUAAUACAUGCAAGUCGAGCGGACAGACGAGGCUCUUGCUCCUCUGACGUUAGCGGAGCACGUGUGAGACACACGUGGAUACCCUCCCUAUAAGACUGGUAUAACUACGGAAAUCCGGAGCUAAUCCGGUAUAAGCUCUUGAACCGCAGGGGGGAAUAGUGAGAGACGGCUUUUGUGUCACGUCUCGCGGGAUCCGGGCCGGAUUAGCUAGUUGGUAAGGUAACGGGUUACCAAGGCGACCAGGCGUGGGCGACGUGAGAGGGUGAUCGGCCACACUGGAGCGUAGACACGGUCCAGACUACUACGGGAGGCAGCAGUAGGGAAUGGUCCGCAAUGGGCGGAAGCAUUACGGAGCAACGGCGCGUGAGAGAUGGCGGUGUUGGGAUCGUGAAACUCUGUUAUUAGGGGAGAACAAAUGUGUAAGUAACUAUGCACGUCUUGACGGUACCGGAUCAGAAAGCAACGGCUAACUACGUG
rnacentral:rRNA from 1 species